GUGUUGUAUGAAAGGAGAGGUUAGCCCUCCCCAUGACAAGGAUGGAAAAGAUGCUCGGGCAUGACAACGUGCAUAGGAUUAAGGCACUGCCACCUACUUCACAGCAGCUAACCUUUGUUUUUU
ensembl:snRNA U6atac minor spliceosomal RNA